CCAAAGGGCAUAAAGGUUAUUACCCCCUUAACGGACGAGCUGAAACACGUUCUUAGAGAGAGAGAGAGAGAGAGAGCGCGGAAGUGGUAGUUGUAAAAUCCUAGAGCCAGAGGCGGUGAAACGGAUAGAUUCAGGAAAUAGAUACGGGACUAUUGGAAUCCAACAGAAAUUGAGAAUAAGAAAGAUGGAUGGA